rnacentral:rRNA from 1 species
UUAAGCUGGAACUGCCGGUGAGGGGGAAAUACCCGGACAGUUCGUGAACUUGCAACGUUAUGUAAGUCGCAUUCCCCCACUAUGGUCUUUCUGUGUGAAACCAGGCAUAAACAGAAGAUGAGGAGGAUUCGGGGCCAUUUAGGCCUCAAUGGCUUCUGUGGUGCAGAUAGUGAUGGAAUGAGUGGUGGUCUAGCCCUGUUCUGUCAUGAAUCC